GCUCCGCUCUCCACCAGAUGGCGCUGUUAGACUCCUGGGGUGGAGUGUUGCGGCGCUCGUAGGUGCGUAUGCGCCUGCGCGGGAAUGGUAAAAAUGGCGUCACCCAGCCACCCGGUCUGUUCUCCCGGGUCAGCAAUCGCGCACCCGUCCUCCGUCUUCAGCUCUCGUCCGCUCCCCUCUUUUUCACCAUCUGUGACCAGGCCCCCGGCAGCACCUCUCUCCCGAGUUUUGUCUCAGACGCUGCUGUUUUCCCUGGCCCCUUACUCCUGAAGGACCGCGGCCUUGACCCGCUCCGCCCCUCUGCGGGAGGGUCUCCCUGAGCAAUGGCCGAAUGUCCGCUGCACCCAGGAACACCCGCGGGACCCUGCUGCUGCCGGUGCCCCGAGACUGUGGCCGGGUGCCAGCCACCCCCCGAAAAAGUUCGCGAGACAGCGUAGCAGCAGCUUUUCAGGGAUGAUGGAAAAUCGCCACACACACCUGGCACCAGGCUUCACCCUCAACGACCUUGUUCCAGUACCAGCGAACACGGCCACCUUCCCGGGUCUGCCGGGACGGGGGGGGGGCUUCAACAGUUUCCACCAACUGUCCUUCCGGCAGUGGAACCGCUUCUCCCCGUGUGGCCCGAGAACCUCCCGGACCCCACUCGGCUCCCGGGGACUCGCCCUUCCCACCAGAGCACCGCCAGGACAUCUCGUUAGGAUUCUGACUGUUUCCUGCACAGAACUCAGGCGAACACAAAGCAGGAUGUAUUGGCAAGAUUCAAAUACUAGCAAGCAUCAAGGGGUCUGAGGUGAAACACGGGUCUGGACUUCCCCGAUGCCCAGCCAGCCCAACUUCAGCCUGGUCAUCAGGAAGGGGAAACUGAUCGCGUUCAGCAGAGGAGCGCCUACCUUCGGGUCCCGUGGGAAUGGCCAGCCUCUUACAGCCUCAAUUGCUAGAUAAUCCAAAAUGCAUACUGACUCUAGGAGGAUGAUGACAAGCACGUCCCCGUUCCCUUGGUCCAGACCCCUGAAAGUUUACGGCGAUAACAACAGCACGCCGCGGAGAGCGCUGGGUAAAAACGCGUGCACGUUACAUACUUGUGUAUAAAUGAGCAGAAGAUAAACAGCUCGUUUUCAUUGCACGUGUUUCCUCUAGGGGAUGUUUUGAAAAUGGAAAAGCCAAAGAUUUGUUUUUAGAUGAGCAAUGUCUAUAAAUAAAAUUGCAGAGGUAAAUAAAAACAAUCUGCUAAGCACUGGGCCUGAAAAAAAUGUAACAGAUCCAAGGAACAUUUUUAUGGUUCUUAAAGAAAGUUUACAUCUGAUCAUAUUUCUUCCUGAGGUUUCAUGAGUCUAUGCGGAAGAUGGAAGAGUUUAAAAACCCGAAACACUGGCCACACGGAUGAAGACAUAGGAAAGAAGGUCCUUUGCUGCCAUCUUUUGUUUCCUCAAAAAAAUUUAUAGUUUAACAUUUCCCCUUCUGGUUUCCACCGGAAAUCAGUCUUCCUUAGAAAUCAGAUGAGUGAGGACCGUAAGUUUGCCGGAAUGUCUUUGUUUUUUGAAACUAGUGCCCUGUGGUGUUCUUACUCUCAAACUCUUCUCUGGAGGGUACCCUUCGGUUCUUUAGCCUGUGAAAUUUUAUCAGUUGGCAAAAAUGGAUAGAGGGACGUUAAGAACCAAGGUAAAAAACAAUGAAAUCGGAGGCAGCAGACUUUUCUGUACAGGGCUUGGCAUUAGAUGGUCUCUAUCAGGGCUCAGCCUCAGCCUUGCUGUCGUAGCGUGUGUGUUAAUUCACUCUGCGGGGGAACCCUUCACGAUGGGCGUGGAUAUCAAAUUAUCACGUUGUGUACUUUAAAUAUCUUGCAAUUUUGUCAAUUAUGCCUCAGUAGAGCUGAGCAAAACGUUUAAAGAAAAGCAGCCAUAUGGGCACCUGGGUGGCUCUGUCGGUUAAGCAUCUAUCUGACUCUUGAUUUCAGCUUAGGUCAUGAUCUCACGGUUCGUGGGAUCGAGCUCUGCAUCGGGCUCUGCA